GUAUACCAGUAGUUAACUAGGAGGUGGUUCCUGUAUGAGUGUAGAGUUAGUAACACCAGUAUUAACUAGGAGGUGCUUCUCCCAGGUAAGAGCAGAUGCCUUGGGUCUUGAAAUGCCUCAGUGGUUGGAGUGAAGAGUUAGUAUACCAGUAGUUAACUAGGAGGUGGUUCCUGUAUGAGUGUAGAGUUAGUAACACCAGUAUUAACUAGGAGCUGGUUCUCCCAGGUAAGAGCAGAUGCCUUGGGUCUUGAAAUGCCUCAGUGGUUGGAGUGUAGAGUUAGUAUACCAGUAUUAACUAGGAGGUGCUUCUCCCAGGUAAGAGCAGAUGCCUUGGGUCUUGAAAUGCCUCAGUGGUUGGAGUGAAGAGUUAGUAUACCAGUAUUAACUAGGAGGUGCUUCUCCCAGGUAAGAGCAGAUGCCUUGGGUCUUGAAAUGCCUCAGUGGUUGGAGUGAAGAGUUAGUAACACCAGUAUUAACUAGGAGCUGGUUCUCCCAGGUAAGAGCAGAUGCCUUGGGUCUUGAAAUGCCUCAGUGGUUGGAGUGAAGAGUUAGUAUACCAGUAGUUAACUAGGAGGUGGUUCCUGUAUGAGUGUAGAGUUAGUAACACCAGUAUUAACUAGGAGGUGGUUCCUGUAUGAGUGUAGAGUUAGUAACACCAGUAUUAACUAGGAGCUAGUUCCUGUAUGAGUGUAGAGUUAGUAACACCAGUAGUUAACUAGGAGCUGGUUCUCCCAGGUAAGAGCAGAUGCCUUGGGUCUUGAAAUGCCUCAGUGGUUGGAGUGAAGAGUUAGUAUACCAGUAGUUAACUAGGAGGUGGUUCCUGUAUGAGUGUAGAGUUAGUAACACCAGUAUUAACUAGGAGGUGGUUCCUGUAUGAGUGUAGAGUUAGUAACACCAGUAUUAACUAGGAGCUGGUUCCUGUAUGAGUGUAGAGUUAGUAACACCAGUAUUAACUAUGAG